UUCAAAAACACCAACAAAAAAUGGCUUCCAAAUCUCUAAAACCUCCAAAACAACCACCAAAAAACCCUAAAAAACAAUGGUCCCUGAACGAUUUCGAGAUCGGAAAACCCCUCGGAAAAGGCAAAUUCGGCCGUGUAUACCUCGCCCGCGAAGUUAAGAGUGGAUUUAUAGUGGCGUUGAAGGUGAUAUUCAAGGAGCAGAUAGAGAAAUACAGGUUGCAUCAUCAGCUUAAGAGGGAAAUGGAGAUUCAAACAAGUCUUCGUCAUCCCAAUGUGUUGAGGCUAUAUGGUUGGUUUCAUGAUGAGGAGCGGAUUUACUUGAUUUUGGAGUAUGCUCAUCGCGGUGAGCUGUAUAGGGAGCUAAGGAAGAUAGGUCGUCUGUCUGAGAAACAAGCUGCCAUAUAUAUUGCAAGUCUCACACAAGCACUGGCGUACUGUCAUGAGAAGCAUGUUAUUCACAGGGACAUAAAGCCGGAAAACCUGUUACUUGAUCAUGA
rnacentral:misc_RNA from 1 species